GAUGAAGAACGUAGCGAAAUGCGAUAAGUAAUGUGAAUUGCAGAAUUCAGUGAAUCAUCGAAUCUUUGAACGCACAUUGCGCCCGCCAGUAUUCUGGCGGGCAUGCCUGUUCGAGCGUCAUUACAACCCUCAGGCCCCCGGGCCUGGCGUUGGGGAUCGGCGGAAGCCCCCUGCGGGCACAACGCCGUCCCCCAAAUACAGUGGCGGUCCCGCCGCAGCUUCCAUUGCGUAGUAGCUAACACCUCGCAACUGGAGAGCGGCGCGGCCACGCCGUAAAACACCCAACUUCUGAAUGUUGACCUCGAAUCAGGUAGGAAUACCCGCUGAACUUAAGCAUAUCAAUAAGCGGAGA
rnacentral:misc_RNA from 1 species